CAGCUUGAAAGAUGAGACGUGGAAGGCUGGAGAGAGAAACAAAAAGUCGUGUCACAAAUAGUAUAUCUGCUGAGAGACAUGUUCUCUCCUUGCACAACCAACCAGUGACCCAGAGUCAUAUGAGCUAUGAACCGUCAAAUGGUGUUGCUUUUCAUUUACUGGCUUGUUAUUUUACUUUCUCUGGGAUCAACUCAUAAAGUUGUGAACGGCCGAAGAAAAUGGCAAAAACGUCAGUUUCCCGUUUUAGACCUGCAGUUGUUUACAAGAUCUUCUCAGCUUGAUGAGAAGCUCACAGAGAUCAUGUUCAUGAGAGGAGGCUUACAUGUGCUGAGAAGUUAAACCGACAGAUGUGUGGACUGCUGGAGGUUCAGCGCCCUCUGGUGAUCAGCACCCUUCCAGUCCAGCCCUUCAUAGUUCAUGCUCAACAAAUUAAUGUAAAUAAAAAACAAUUGAAAUGAAAACAGUCCAUAAUAUCACUUCAGCAUUUCAGCUUUUAAUACCCAAUACACACAAAAUAGUUAUUGAUUAAUUUGGUGGUGAAUGUGUUCCUGUGAUAGUGCUGUUUGUGAAAUAAAUUCUGGUGUAUGUUGCAGUUUCAAUUUGACCUCAGUACCACUUUUCUUGGGUCAUUAUUAAAGCCAAAUGAAAGGUUAAAAAAGAGCAAGUGGUUGUGUGAGUGCAGUAUUUUAACAUUUGCAGCAAUCUUAUGAUAUCAUCUUGAGAAAACUCAGUGUUAACCACAAUGCUAAUACUAUAUCGCUUUUUUUUUACAUUAAGGCCCAGAAGUAUCAUAAAAAGUGUAGUAAACAUGUAAAAUGUGUUUGAAAGGAAAAUCAGCUUAUGAAUGGAAAAUGGAAAACAAAAACUUCAACUUAAAAUGCAGAUUAUAAAAAAAAAAGAAAAAAAAAUGUUUGUCUAAAUAUAUAGCUUCAGGUUUGAAGUGCAAGAUAAAGUAAAAGCAGAAGGCGAAAAGACAAAAACUAAGUCAGUCUACGUUCAUGCAGCUUCACUUCACUUUCACAACAGUUGGUUCCCCCUGAUGGCUGGUGUCACUUUAUAUUUAAGUGAAGUGAAGUGAUUGUCAUUGUGAACAGUGACACAACGAAAUGUGUCCUCUGUAUUUAACCAUCACCCUUGGUGAGCAGUGUGCAGCCAUGACAGGUGCCCAGGCAGCAGUGUGUGGGGACGGUGCUCAGUUGCACCUCAGUGGCACCUUUGUGGCUCGGGAUCUGAACUGACAACCUUCUGAUUAUCCACUAGGCCACCACUGCCCCAGUUGAAAUAAUUUAGGUUAUUAAUUUAUUAAUUAACUUUUAAAAUGUAAAAUAAUGGAUUAAUUAGUAUUUUAUAAGAUCAUGAAAGUUAUUUGUAAACUGAAUUGAUAGUGAAUAUUGUAAUUGAACAUUAAGUGCCAUUUGUGGUCUUCCACACUUUCAGACCCCAAAGAAGUGCAAAAGUCCUGUGAGUCAUCCAAACCACCCUUGUUCUAGUAUUGAAUUGACCAUGCUAAUGCAUCCAUCAUUUUUGUUGUCAUCUGAUCUAUAUUCAGGGUUGGUUAGUAGCGAGUUACAUGUAAUUGCAUUAUGUAAUUUAAUAACAAAUAAAAUGUAAUUGUGAUUAAUUACGUUACUGUAGGAAAAGGUCUAAAUAAAUUACAAUUACUUAUGGAAAAAUCAGUAGUUUCCAACCUUUUCAAUCGAGGGCAAAGUGCAUCAUAAGUGCACUGUAGACGUUUGAGCCGAG
ensembl:lncRNA